GGGCGGGGUCCGGCCGGCGCGCCCAGCGGAGGCCCCCAAGGGGGCGCGGGCUCGGGGCCCGAGUGGCUGCGCCAGCCCGAGGGGAGGGGUGUGGACUGCCUAGGCGGCGAGGCUGCGGCUGCCGCAGCGUGGAAUGCGGAGCUGCGGGAGGGCUGAGGGAGGCCCGGGCGGCGGUGGCGGAGCAUAUGGAGGCGGGAUGACCGGGCCGCGCCGGGAGCUGCGGCGGGACUGGGCGCAGGCUGGGAACUGCGCCACCGCCGCGCCGUGGCCCCGGCUCCCCGAGGCUUCUGGUGCAGAUCGCGAAGGGGGGCUCCUGCUCGUCCUCGGAGACAUCACCUGUCUGGCGCGUUUGUUAAGGGCGCCCAGAAGCAGAGGGCUUUAGGCUUCCGACAGAGCUGGAGGAGACGGACAAAAACAAUGACAGACUUGUCCGAGCUACCAUCGAAGUCUUGGGUCUGCACGCAAAGGAUGGAAUCCCCCAUCUCCAUUCCCAAAAGUUUCCCUACGGGAGCCUGGUGUUGUCUCCUCCGGAACUGUCCUCGCGGCUGCCUGUUUUUCCCUAGCCAUGGUUACUGCCUGCGGGGGAUUCAGCCUGUGAAGGCAGUCAAGGCAGUUCACCACUGUCAUCAAACCUACACCCCUGUGUGCAUGCGCACACACACUUGUAACCCAGUGGCACAAUGCAGGAAUUAGGGAAGCAAAGGCAAAUCGCUGAAUAGCUAGGGCACCUGAUCCCUGUAGGGCCCUUCCAGGUUUUUGUGAAUCUCGGUUUUAGGAGAGCUCCCUUUAUAAAAUUCUCAUGGAAGAUGCCACAUUUAAAUUAACACCACAAAACUAGGUCAUUGCAGUUCUGUUACUUUCUCUCAAAAUUGCCAUCUCCUUUAUGGUCGUUCUCUAAAAUACAAUUAUUUUAUAUUCCUUCCCCACACCUGUGAGGCGGUUGUGUUUCUAUGUUCAUGUCCACAAUUGCAUCUUACAUCUUGAUAAUAUGGAAGCUGAGGAAGAAUUAGAAAUGAGGGCCUAGACGUAAAAUGAAGGCUAACAGAAGUCGAUUCAAGUUGUGAUUCAUGAAAUAGUGUGAAUCUUUUAUGAAAUCUACAACGUCUACACUUGCCUGGCUUAAGAACAGCAUUAUUUUCAAUGCGGUCUUGACAUGAAUGAUACUUAGAUUCAAACAAAAGGUCAGUCAUUUCCAGCCAUGACAUCUUUAUAUGGGUGUGUGUUGUCUAAUUCUAAAAGUAGUAGAAAAGUUUAAUCCUAACACAGAUAAUAAGCAAUAUUUUGGUGUUUAUUAUUCAAGUCUUUUUCCUAUGCACUUUAACAAAAAUGAUACAUAAUAAAAGAGUUUUAUAGCC